rnacentral:lncRNA from 1 species
GUUCCUUUGAUUCUAUCAACCCAACCUAACAAUGGAAAAUGAUCAGAAAAGUAAAACUCAGUUAACAAAGCCUCUUCAUUAAGCAAAACUUGCAAUCUACUUCUCUUUUGUCCACUUCCCAAUUCAACUUCUUCUUCAUAAUCACAAACAUAUGUUUUUCCAAAAGCUAUCUUACAUAUAAUUGUAUUUGUGAGAGACAUCAAUAUUUCACUCAAGUUCGCACCUUUUUCAUCACCACCAUAUUGCGACAACUUUUGAAUCAAUUGGGCCACUUCAUUUUCUCUAACGGGCCUAAAAGAAUGGACACGUUGAGAGCUAAAGAGAUGUU